CGGCGGACGGGUGAGUAACGCGUGGGUAACCUGCCUCAUACAGGGGGAUAACAGUUAGAAAUGACUGCUAAUACCGCAUAAGACCACGGUACCGCAUGGUACAGUGGUAAAAACUCCGGUGGUAUGAGAUGGACCCGCGUCUGAUUAGGUAGUUGGUGGGGUAACGGCCUACCAAGCCGACGAUCAGUAGCCGACCUGAGAGGGUGAUCGGCCACAUUGGGACUGAGACACGGCCCAA
rnacentral:rRNA from 1 species